rnacentral:pre_miRNA from 1 species
AAAGUACUCCCUCCGUCCCAAAAUUCUUGUCUUAGAUUUGUCUAGAUACGGAUGUAUCAAGUCACAUUUUAGUAUUAGAUACAUCCGUAUCUAGAAAAAUCUAAGAUAAGAAAUUUGGGACAGAGGGAGUAGUUG